CUUGCGAAGCAGGCGGCAAAACUGAGCUAAAUCCCGUCACCGGAGUUCAAAUCUAACCUACAGCCUGCAGGGGGCAGGAGCCAGCCAAAAAACUCUUCAAGCACAGUGCUCCUGUGGCUACAGCAAGUUAGGUACAUGUGAUAAAUCAGGAGCUCUUCACACUUAAUUGAAGAUGCAGCUUUCUAAAACAGAUCGCCAGCAGCCGCGGCUCCCUGAGAAAGAAAGAAAGAGACAAAAUCAUCUUUCCCCUGAGAAUUGGCUUUUUAAUGAAAAGGACAGAAAAGAACGAAUAUGCCCAAUGCCGAGACUGGAUUGUGCGGGACCCCGGGCUAUUCAGAUCUAGGAGAUGGCGUGCCAAAGCUGGCUGGGGAAAGGAGCCCGACCUGUCAGUCACCAUACCCCGGGUGACUCGAGAACACGCAUGAAGUUCCCACCAGCUCCCGAGCAGUGCGGACUGCGGGAAAAGGACUGGCUAUCACCGAAAGCCUAUCGUGCACUACCCGGAUGAGGGCGGGGCCGAGCCAGUCACUCACCCAGCAUCACUCACUGCGGAUUCAGCCACCUCUGACAAAGGGAGUGCCCUGUCAUCAGCAUGAGGCUUUGGUGGGGCAUCCAAACACGAGCCAACCACAGUC